rnacentral:rRNA from 1 species
GAUGAACGCUGGCGGCGUGCUUAACACAUGCAAGUCGAACGGAACUUAUUACUUGAUAGCCUUCGGGAAGGAUUUUAGUAAGUUUAGUGGCGGACGGGUGAGUAACGCGUGGGUAACCUGCCUUAUACAGGGGGAUAACAGCUGGAAACGACUGUUAAUACCGCAUAAGCGCACAGAAUCGCAUGAUUUGGUGUGAAAAACUCCGGUGGUAUAAGAUGGACCCGCGUCUGAUUAGCUAGUUGGCAGGGUAAUGGCCUACCAAGGCAACGAUCAGUAGCCGGCCUGAGAGGGUGAACGGCCACAUUGGGACUGAGACACGGCCCAAACUCCUACGGGAGGCAGCAGUGGGGAAUAUUGCACAAUGGGGGAAACCCUGAUGCAGCGACGCCGCGUGAGCGAAGAAGUAUUUCGGUAUGUAAAGCUCUAUCAGCAGGGAAGAAAAUGACGGUACCUGACUAAGAAGCCCCGGCUAACUACGUG